UGGGGAAUAUUGGACAAUGGGCGGAAGCCUGAUCCAGCCAUGCCGCGUGUGUGAAGAAGGCCUUUUGGUUGUAAAGCACUUUAAGCGAGGAGGAGGCUCUUCUAGUUAAUACCUAGGAUGAGUGGACGUUACUCGCAGAAUAAGCACCGGCUAACUCUGUGCCAGCAGCCGCGGUAAUACAGAGGGUGCGAGCGUUAAUCGGAUUUACUGGGCGUAAAGCGUGCGUAGGCGGCUGAUUAAGUCGGAUGUGGAAUCCCUGAGCUUAACUUAGGAAUUGCAUUCGAUACUGGUCAGCUAGAGUAUGGGAGAGGAUGGUAGAAUUCCAGGUGUAGCGGUGAAAUGCGUAGAGAUCUGGAGGAAUACCGAUGGCGAAGGCAGCCAUCUGGCCUAAUACUGACGCUGAGGUACGAAAGCAUGGGGAGCAAACAGG
rnacentral:rRNA from 1 species